GUUGAACAAUGAGAACACAUGGACACAGGGAGGGGAACGACACACACCGGGGCCUAUUGGGGGCUGAGGGCCUAGGGGAGGGAUAGCAUUAGGAGAAAUACCUAAUGUAGAUGACAGGUUGAUGGGUGCAGAAAACCACCAUGGCACGUGUAUAACUAUGUAACAAACCUGCACAUUCUGCACAUGUAUCCCAGAACUUAAAGAACAAUAAAAACAAAAAGAUUUUAAAAAAAGAUAUGUCUGUUCAAAAGGAGUAGCUUUGACAUGCUAAGGGACUCACUUGGAUGGUACACGCCAAGUGAAAAAUCAGGUUGAAGAUAUGAUUACAGGAACAUUCUAAAGUUGUUUGAUAUGUGAGUACAAGCAACUAACUCUACUUCUCCUGGGAAGUGGGUGGGAAACCGUAUUGAGAUAGAUACUGAUGAUCAGAAAAUAAAGACCAAGAUAACUUACUACAUGCUAUCAGUAUUACAUCA
rnacentral:lncRNA from 1 species